CGGUCCUGGUCGAGUCGUACACCGCCUGGGCGAUCUGCACCGCGCGAAGUCCGUCGAGCGUGUCGCCGAGCGGCACCACUCCGCCCCCGAUCCGCCGGAGAAAAUCGGUGAGCUCUUCCUGAAAGGACGCGAGGGUGGUGGUCUCCCAUCCCUGCAGCUUCUCCCGCACCUUGAUGUCGAAAUAGGUCCGCGCCAGGCGGCGGCGCGGAGUGCCAGGGCGCUCGUGCGUGAUCAGCAGGUUCGAUUGCGGCGCGACGGUGCCUUGGACCAUGCCCUUCUCGCCGUAGGCCUCCAGCGCAAUCUGGUACCCUUGCCACUCGUUCCAGGUCGCCUCGUAGAUGGCGGAGGCGCCGGAUUCGGCCUUGAAGACCGCCACGGCGCGAUCCUCCGAC
rnacentral:misc_RNA from 1 species